rnacentral:rRNA from 1 species
AGAAUGGAAUUCCUGGUGGAGCGGUGGAAUGCGCAGAUAUCAGGAGGAACACCAGUGGCGAAGGCGGUUCUCUGGGCCUUUCCUGACGCUGAGGAGCGAAAGCGUGGGGAGCGAACAGGCUUAGAUACCCUGGUAGUCCACGCUGUAAACGGUGGGUACUAGGUGUGGGGUCCAUUCCACGGGUUCCGUGCCGUAGCUAACGCUUUAAGUACCCCGCCUGGGGAGUACGGCCGCAAGGCUAAAACUCAAAGGAAUUGACGGGGCCCCGCACAAGCGGCGGAGCAUGCGGAUUAAUUCGAUGCAACGCGUAGAACCUUACCUGGGUUUGACAUGGAUCGGGAGCGCUCAGAGAUGGGUGUGCCUCUUUUGGGGUCGGUUCACAGGUGGUGCAUGGCUGUCGUCAGCUCGUGUCGUGAGAUGUUGGGUUAAGUCCCGCAACGAGCGCAACCCUUGUUCACUGUUGCCAGCACGUUAUGGUGGGGACUCAGUGGAGACCGCCGGGGUCAACUCGGAGGAAGGUGGGGAUGACGUCAAGUCAUCAUGCCCCUUAUGUCCAGGGCUUCACGCAUGCUACAAUGGC